rnacentral:sRNA from 12 species
UAGCCUAAGCCAGUAUUACCUUAGGCUACUUCUGUAGCGUUUAGCA